rnacentral:rRNA from 1 species
GAUGAACGCUGGCGGCGUGCCUAAUACAUGCAAGUCGAGCGAACGGACGAGAAGCUUGCUUCUCUGAUGUUAGCGGCGGACGGGUGAGUAACACGUGGAUAACCUACCUAUAAGACUGGGAUAACUUCGGGAAACCGGAGCUAAUACCGGAUAAUAUUUUGAACCGCAUGGUUCAAAAGUGAAAGACGGUCUUGCUGUCACUUAUAGAUGGAUCCGCGCUGCAUUAGCUAGUUGGUAAGGUAACGGCUUACCAAGGCAACGAUGCAUAGCCGACCUGAGAGGGUGAUCGGCCACACUGGAACUGAGACACGGUCCAGACUCCUACGGGAGGCAGCAGUAGGGAAUCUUCCGCAAUGGGCGAAAGCCUGACGGAGCAACGCCGCGUGAGUGAUGAAGGUCUUCGGAUCGUAAAACUCUGUUAUUAGGGAAGAACAUAUGUGUAAGUAACUGUGCACAUCUUGACGGUACCUAAUCAGAAAGCCACGGCUAACUACGUGCCAGCAGCCGCGGUAAUACGUAGGUGGCAAGCGUUAUCCGGAAUUAUUGGGCGUAAAGCGCGCGUAGGCGGUUUUUUAAGUCUGAUGUGAAAGCCCACGGCUCAACCGUGGAGGGUCAUUGGAAACUGGAAAACUUGAGUGCAGAAGAGGAAAGUGGAAUUCCAUGUGUAGCGGUGAAAUGCGCAGAGAUAUGGAGGAACACCAGUGGCGAAGGCGACUUUCUGGUCUGUAACUGACGCUGAUGUGCGAAAGCGUGGGGAUCAAACAGGAUUAGAUACCCUGGUAGUCCACGCCGUAAACGAUGAGUGCUAAGUGUUAGGGGGUUUCCUCCCCUUAGUGCUGCAGCUAACGCAUUAAGCACUCCGCCUGGGGAGUACGACCGCAAGGUUGAAACUCAAAGGAAUUGACGGGGACCCGUACAAGCGGUGGAGCAUGUGGUUUAAUUCGAAGCAACGCGAAGAACCUUACCAAAUCUUGACAUCCUUUGACAACUCUAGAGAUAGAGCCUUCCCCUUCGGGGGACAAAGUGACAGGUGGUGCAUGGUUGUCGUCAGCUCGUGUCGUGAGAUGUUGGGUUAAGUCCCGCAACGAGCGCAACCCUUAAGCUUAGUUGCCAUCAUUAAGUUGGGCACUCUAAGUUGACUGCCGGUGACAAACCGGAGGAAGGUGGGGAUGACGUCAAAUCAUCAUGCCCCUUAUGAUUUGGGCUACACACGUGCUACAAUGGACAAUACAAAGGGCAGCGAAACCGCGAGGUCAAGCAAAUCCCAUAAAGUUGUUCUCAGUUCGGAUUGUAGUCUGCAACUCGACUACAUGAAGCUGGAAUCGCUAGUAAUCGUAGAUCAGCAUGCUACGGUGAAUACGUUCCCGGGUCU